UGGGGAAUAUUGGACAAUGGGCGAAAGCCUGAUCCAGCCAUGCCGCGUGAGUGAUGAAGGCCUUAGGGUUGUAAAGCUCUUUUGUCAGGGAAGAUGAUGACGGUACCUGAAGAAUAAGCACCGGCUAACUUCGUGCCAGCAGCCGCGGUAAUACGAAGGGUGCUAGCGUUGUUCGGAAUCACUGGGCGUAAAGCGCGCGUAGGCGGCUUUUCAAGUAAGGGGUGAAAUCCUGAGGCUCAACCUCAGAAUUGCCUUUUAAACUGUAAAGCUAGAGUGUCGGAGGGGAUAGCGGAAUUGCUAAUGUAGAGGUGAAAUUCGUAGAUAUUAGCAGGAACACCGGUGGCGAAGGCGGCUAUCUGGACGACAACUGACGCUUAGGCGCGAAAGCGUGGGGAUCAAACAG
rnacentral:rRNA from 1 species